UUGGGAGGGCCUGUCUGGGUGGUGGUGGUGGUAACAGUAGUAGUAGUAGUAGUGGUGGUACAGAUGACUCUUGAUUUUGUGGAUUAUUCAAACCUGAGAAUCAUGGUAAAGACCUUGAAAAUAUUGGCAUAGUAGAGACUCAUUAUCCUUCAUUUUACCCUCUAAAUCAAGGGUCAGAGUACGUAUGGAUUGACAGAUUGACUUCGGAUAAACUUAGAAUGAUGAAAUGAUAUGAGGGUGAUGGUAAUACUGCUUAGGACAUGAACAGCUGCGGAUGAAGUGGAUGAACUGACAGUGUGAAUAUGUAACUCCCUUCCGCAAUCCAUUUUUUCAUCCCUCGCCGUCCAUUUAGACUUGAGAAUGAGCCUUGGGAAAAGAGGUUCUGAUGUUAAGCUUUGCCAUAUUCUCGUUCUCCCCCAUGGCUCCUUGCUGGGUCCUGGAGUGAUAGAUAAGUGUGUGUGGUAUUAUGGCUGGAUUAGGGACUUCUUGCACCAUGUGGCUUUGGUUGAGAGAUAAGAUUGUGAGGUUAUGGCUACGGUAACUUGCUCCCUUUCCUGGUAUGUCAGUUGUGUGAUAGGUCAAAGGCUAUGAAGCACAGUUUAGUAUGGGAUAGGUAUAGUAACUUGGUCCUUCUGACAGUGUUUGGGUCUUACAGUUGAAGGUUUAUUGGUUAGGAAAGAGUUUAGGAUUGGCGUAGCAACUUGCUCCCUUUCCUGGUAUGUUAGUCUUGUGAUAGGUCAAAGGCUAUGAAGCACAGUUUAGUAUAGGAUAGGUACAGUAACGUGGCCCUUCUGAGUGUUCUUGGGUCUUACAGUUGAAGGUUUAAAGGUUAGGAAAGAGUUUAGGAUUGGUGUAGCAACUUGCCCCCUUUGCUUUGUGAAAGGUCAAAGGCUAUGAAGCACAGUUUAGUAUAGGAUAGGUAUAGUAACUUGGUCCUUCUGACAGUGUUUGGGUCUUACAGUUGAAGGUUUAAAGGUUAGGAAAGAGUUUAGGAUUGGUGUAGCAACUUGCCCCCUUUGGUAUGUGAAAGGUCAAAGGCUAUGAAGCACAGUUUAGUAUAGGACAGGUAUAGUAACUUGGUCCUUCUGAGUGUUCUUGGGUCUUACAGUAGAAGGUUUAAAGGUUAGGAAAGAGUUUAGGAUUGGUGUAGCAACUUGCCUCCUUUGCUUUGUGAAAGGUCAAAGGUUAUGAAGCACAGUUUAGUAUAGGAUAGGUAUAGUAACUUGGCCCUUCCUGCAGUGUUUUUGGGUCUUACAAUAGAAGGUUUAAAGGUUAGGAAAGAGUUUAGGAUUGGUGUAGUAACUUGCCCCAUUUCCUGCCGUGGGUACAUGUAUUGUAUGGUAAGGUUGGAACAUUAGGUGUGGAUUUAGUAGUAGUUAAUCCCUUCCUCGUCAAUUUCUGGAUUCCGUGAUAGAUUAGAUUAGGUUAUAACACAUCCCAGGGGUUAGUUUUACAAGGGGAUGGCGUGGGUACAGGUAUUGUAUGGUAAGGUUGGAACAUAAAGUGAUUUAGUGACAGCUUCUUCCUUUCUGGUCACUUGCUGGGUUCUGUGAUAGAUUGGAUUAGGUUAUAACACAUCCCAGGGGUUAGUUUUACAAGGGGACAGUGUAGGUACAUUUGUGGUUAAACUCUUUGAUGGAUAAGGUUGAUUUUAGUUCCUUGUUCCUCCUUCCUUCCCAGCUGUUUCUUGGGAGGCAGUGUCAUAAAGUAUAUUGUGAUCAGUGUAUUUUUUUGCUGUGUGGAUUCUGUGAAAAGAUUUGUGUGUGUGUGUGUGUGUGUUUGUGUGUGUGUAUUCAUAAUGCUGUGUGCUGCAUACAUACAUAACAAUAUUUCAUACUUUUAAGAUAACAGUUAUGAUAAUAUAUGACAUCCCACACUCCCUUGUCACUAAUAAUAAGAUUGGUAAUAAUAAUGUCAGGAGAAUAAUAUAAUAUCUACGUCUAGUGAAGUUGUGGAGGAGCGUCACUUAGGUCUUCCCUUCCAUUUCUCCCCAAUGCCUUUCCCACUUGAGGCAGGGUGGCACAAAGUAAGGAGCGGAAUACUGUCAAAACUCUCUGCUGUUACAUCUCUGGUGUUUACUGUGACUCACCACAGCUGCCUCUCAUACUAUGACACUUGUAAUAUGCUGCACGCUGUUUGCUGGAGCGCAUUGCUUAAGAUCAAAUCAGUCAGUCUCUGUAAUUCCCUUACAUUAAUGCAAACAAGCUGGAAAACAAAACUUGCCCACCUGGAGGCCAUGAUAAAAGUGGGGUGUUAGAUGCAGUGGUGCACUGCUGCUGCCCACCAAGCACUUCCCUCCUCUGCCUGUGGCUCAGCUGGGCUGUUAUCAAAUUGUCACUGCCAGUGGGUGCCCCUUGUGCCUGCCUCAUAGUGCUGGCCAUGGCUGGAGGACUGGCAGCUGACCCUCUGUGGCAGUCAUGAUGCAGGAAAGGGUGUGUUGAGGUGACCUGAGCACACUGAAAUACUCUGGGUGUCUGCUCCACCAUGGCUGCCCCUUGUUUACAAAACCCAUGAGUGCAGUGUGUUCCACCUCUGGGAGCAGUGACAUGGGGCAGUGGAGGGCUGUGUUGCUGCCUGCUCCACAGCCUCCACACCAUGAAGUGUGAUGCCCAGCACUGUCAGGGGCACUGAACACCCCUCAGGAUGAACCUCCCUCUGGAUAUUCCAGUGUAAACAGGUGUUGUUGUGUUCCUGGAGGUCAGCCCUUGCCUGGGUUCAUCACACACUGACGGCUUGCUAAAUUUGUCCUGCAAGGAAGCAGCUCCUGCGUAGAAUGAGAGGCGGCUGUCCCGCUACAACUGUUACUACUUAGCACUGUUGCAAGGAGUCAGCCUUGACUACUAUUCCCCCUCACUGUUCCCCCCUACCCCAAGGUACCAGAACCCCCCCCCUCCCCCAGACUGCUGAUGUUGACCCCACCUCCGUGUUACCAACACUUUGCUCCCUCUUGUUGCAUCAGUCAUACAGCAAAUAAUAAUUAAAAAGAUGAAUAAAAUGAUAUAAUAAAUUUAUUAAAGCAGAACAAGUUGAUUAUUGACAGCAGUAAGAUGAGUUCACCAUCUUUAUCCCUUACAACAACACCUGACAGUCUUGGCAGUGGUGAUACAACACACACAGAGCUGAGCGCCUCAUGUAGCAGCUUGCCGGGCUGCCAGCAGCGUGGGCAGGCUGUUACAUCACACACAGACAGACAUCAUGUAGCAGCUUGCCCAACACCAGUGGCUCUAGGCAGGCUGUUACAUUGGGCUUGGGCUGGCUGUGUUCCGCCGUGCACAGACUGUCUGUGCAGCCGCUCUGGUUGUCUGCCAUAUCCAUCCCUUCAGACCCAUCACUGUGCUAGACUUACUCUCCUAGAAUGGAAUAGCCCAUCAAUGUAAACCUUGAAUUUGACCUCCUCCUCCUCCUCCUCCAUCUGUUCCACUCCCUCCUUUGGCGAUGUUUUAUUUCAAUGUUAAAUUGAAUAUUAUUAGUCUGGGAAGUGAUCUGUAAUAUGAUACUGUAGAGCUGACUAAGACUGGGAAUAUGAAGUCUACCUGUUUAACUUAGCUGUCCCCAAAUUACUCUUAAAGAGCAUGGUUGCAUGGUUGGCAGCAAGACCCAUGUGAUUAUUAUUAUUAUUAUUACCAUUAUUAUUACUGUUAUGGUGCUGGCCAGGCCCCCACACACACAGGACAGAUUGUGGCUCACUGCUUGUUGGCGGCAGACUCAUCACUCACUCACUCACUCACCUCACAUCUUGCUCUCACUAUUAAUCUCUAUAUGAUCAAUACUUGUACACACACACACACACACACACACACACAGCCUGUUGUUUGUUUUGUUGCCCCACUCACUCUUUGGGUUGAGUCUUGAGUGUGGCUGUAGACAGUACUCAUGAACCAAAGAGAUUCCUCACCUUAACAUCAUUUGGCUGCCCCCAUGAGCUCCCUUGGCCGCUGCAGGGAGUCCACAGCUUCACUCUCCCUUCUUCUUAAGCCACAGUCCUUCAACUCCCUCUCUCCUCUCUUUCCCUUUUCAACUCCCUUUCCUUCCAGUCACUUCAUCACCCUCCCUACCUUCCUCCCUUGACAGUUCAUCUCCCUGUUCUCCCUUCCUUCAUAUCCCUCCAUUUUUCUUCCUCUCCCUUCUCAACUUUUAACCUCUCUACCUUCCUCCCUUGCCAGGUCCUCUCCCUUUCUCCCUUCCUUCAUAUCCCUGUUUUUCUCCCUCUCCCUCUCUUUAUUCCUUGCCAGUUCAUCAUCCUCUGCCCCCUCUCUCUACCUUUCCUCUCAUUCCUCUCUCUCCUCCUCCUCCUCCUCCUUCUCCUAAUGCCUAAGUGUUGAGUUGUGUCUGCCAUAUGUUGUUCUGUCCCAUUAUCUCUUAGCCAAUAUUAUAACCAGUAGCGUCCAGAUCAGUGUGCUAGUGUUAACAUCUGUAUACUGUAGAUACCCUCCCAUUGAUAACAUGCAUACAGACACGCGUUAUGACCCAUGUAUUAUGCUCAUGUACAGGGUUGUUGAUAAAGGCCUUGGGGUAUUGCAGGCUUUAUUUAUGGUUUAGUUUGUAUUAUGUAACUACACUUGACAUGAUUUCUGGUUAAGUUUAUACGUAAGUGCAUUUGAGACAUGUGGUUAGGUCUGGUUUGAUUUAUAUAGGAAACUACAAACACAUGAUUUCUUUUUUUUCUUUGUUUCUUUCUCUUUCCUAAUUUUCUUUCUUUUUCUUUCUUCUUUGUAUAUAUAGUCAGUCUUUCUUCUUCCUCUUCUUCUUCUUUUUCUUAGAUUUCCAGAUAAGUUUGUCCUAUGAAAUUAAACCAACAUCAUUUCUUAUUCAAUUCACACACACACACACACACACACACACACACACACACACACACACACACACACGUAACUUCACAAACGCACAGUAAAAGGUGUUAAUUCAGAGGCUGGUCACUCUCUACCAAGCCUCCACACUGCACCAAUAUCACAAUUCCUUCCUCAGCUUUUAUACGUAACUACACCAACAUCAUUUCUUAUUCAAUUCACACACACACACAACUACACACACACUUGUAAAAAAGGUGUUAUUCAGAGGCUGGUCACUCUCUACCAAGCCUCCACACUGCACCAAUAUCACAAUUCAUUCCUCAGUUUUUAUACGUAACUACACCAACAUCAUUUCUUAUUCAAUUCACACACA